rnacentral:rRNA from 1 species
UGAACGCUGGCGGCGUGCUUAACACAUGCAAGUCGAACGAGGGUUGCUGGUUGAAGUUUCGGAUGGAAACCGGUAAUUCCUAGUGGCGGACGGGUGAGUAACGCGUGGGGAACCUGCCCCGCUCCGGGGGAUACCAGCUGGAAACGGCUGUUAAUACCGCAUAAGCGCACAGCAUUGCAUGAUGCCGUGUGAAAAAACUCCGGUGGAACGGGAUGGCCCCGCGUCUGAUUAGCCAGUUGGCAGGGUAACGGCCUACCAAAGCGACGAUCAGUAGCCGGCCUGAGAGGGCGACCGGCCACAUUGGGACUGAGACACGGCCCAAACUCCUACGGGAGGCAGCAGUGGGGAAUAUUGCACAAUGGGGGAAACCCUGAUGCAGCGAACGCCGCGUGAGUGAGGAAGUAUUUCGGUAUGUAAAGCUCUAUCAGCAGGGAAGAAGAUGACGGUACCUGCACAAGAAGCCCCGGCUAACUACGUGCCAGCCGCAGC